rnacentral:rRNA from 1 species
CUACGGGGGGCUCCAGUCGAGAAUCUUCCACAAUGCACGAAAGUGUGAUGGAGCGACGUCGCGUGCGAGAUGAAGGCCUUCGGGUCGUAAAUCGUUUUUAUAAGGGAAGAAUUUAGAUGACAUUACCUUAUGAAUAAGGGGUUGCUAAUUGCGUGCCAGCAGCAGCGUAAUACGCAAACCCCAAGCGUUAUCCGGAUUUAUUGGGCGUAAAGGGUGGGUAGGCGGAUAUAGCAGUCAGUCGUUAAAUCACUGGGCUCAACCCAGUAAUCGCGAUUGAAACACUAUGUCUAGAGAUAAGUAGAGGUCAACGGAACUCAUGGUGUAGCAGUGAAAUGCGUUGAUAUCAUGGGGAACACCAAAGGCGAAGGCAGUUGACUGGGCUUUAUCUGACGCUGAGCCACGAAAGCGUGGGGAGUGAAGGGGAUUAGAUACCCCUGUAGUC